GGGCCGGUGGUCUAGCUGGCUAACUGGAGAGGCCAAGGGACAUCGCCCUCACGUGGCGAGGAUCGCCGGUUCAAAUCCGGCCCGGCCCACCA
rnacentral:tRNA from 1 species